GCGGACGUCGCAUAGCCUGGUAUCGCGCCGGAUUUGAAAUCCGGUGACCUUGUGUCGCGGGAGUUCAAAUCUCUCCGUCCGCGCCU
rnacentral:tRNA from 1 species